UACGUAGGGGGCAAGCGUUGUCCGGAUUUAUUGGGCGUAAAGAGCGUGUAGGCGGCCUUACAGGUCAGCUGUGAAAACUCGAGGCUCAACCUCGAGACGUCGGUUGAAACCGUAAGGCUAGAGUCCGGAAGAGGAGAGUGGAAUUCCCGGUGUAGUGGUGAAAUGCGCAGAUAUCAGGAAGAACACCCGUGGCUAAGGCGGCUCUCUGGGCAUUUCCUGACGCUGAGACGCGAAAGCGUGGGGAGCGAACCGGG
rnacentral:rRNA from 1 species